GCCACAGUCAUUUAAGAUCAAGUGUAGUACCUGUUCUUAUCAGCAUAAUAUCUGAUAUGUCCUUCAUCUGAGGAAUGUAUAUUAACUGGAUUUUUAGAGCUGGGAUGUGAAGUGAGAGCUUGCUUCAUUCCCUCCAAGCAUCAACCCAGUAUUGCAGUGUCUUAGGGAGGAGAGCUGGUCUU